GGCAGUUCUAGGGUGACACACCCAGGAACUGGGCUCCCUUCUCUCUGGUUCUGGGUGCAUCACCCAAGAACCGCA
rfam:Myotis brandtii contig206594, whole genome shotgun sequence.